AGUGAACGCUGGCGGUAGACCUAACACAUGCAAGUCGAACGGCAGCACAGUAAGAGCUUGCUCUUACGGGUGGCGAGUGGCGGACGGGUGAGGAAUACAUCGGAAUCUACUUUUUCGUGGGGGAUAACGUAGGGAAACUUACGCUAAUGCCGCAUACGACCUACGGGUGAAAGCAGGGGAUCUUCGGACCUUGCGCGAUUGAAUGAGCCGAUGUCGGAUUAGCUAGUUGGCGGGGUAAAGGCCCACCAAGGCGACGAUCCGUAGCUGGUCUGAGAGGAUGAUCAGCCACACUGGAACUGAGACACGGUCCAGACUCCUACGGGAGGCAGCAGUGGGGAAUAUUGGACAAUGGGCGCAAGCCUGAUCCAGCCAUACCGCGUGGGUGAAGAAGGCCUUCGGGUUGUAAAGCCCUUUUGUUGGGAAAGAAAAGCAGCAGGUUAAUACCCCGCUGUUCUGACGGUACCCAAAGAAUAAGCACCGGCUAACUUCGUG
rnacentral:rRNA from 1 species